rnacentral:rRNA from 1 species
AGGACGAACGCUGGCGGCGUGCUUAACACAUGCAAGUCGAGCGAGGCCCUUCCUUCGGGAAGGUGCCCUAGCGGCGAACGGGUGAGUAACACGUGGGCAACCUGCCCCUAGCACUGGGAUAACUCCGGGAAACCGGGGCUAAUACCGGAUAUUACCUUCUUGGGCAUCCUCGAAGGUGUAAAGGAUUCUGGCUAGGGAUGGGCCCGCGGCCUAUCAGCUUGUUGGUGGGGUAACAGCCUACCAAGGCGACGACGGGUAGCCGGCCUGAGAGGGUGACCGGCCACACUGGGACUGAGACACGGCCCAGACUCCUACGGGAGGCAGCAGUGGGGAAUCUUGCACAAUGGGCGAAAGCCUGAUGCAGCGACGCCGCGUGAGGGAUGACUGCCUUCGGGUUGUAAACCUCUUUCAGCAGGGACGAAGCGAAAGUGACGGUACCUGCAGAAGAAGCACCGGCUAACGUACGCGCCAGCAGCCGC